CUCUCCCUUUGGCUGCUUGGGCCCACUGAGCAUGCUCUGAAGACUUGAUCUGUGCCUAGUGUAUGGGCAGCUUCCCUCCCACUCCCCAAUGCUGGGGUAUUUUUUUAGUACAUCUGAGAAACAUCAUGGGAUAGUGGAAAAAGCAGGAGCUUUGGAAUUACACCGGUAUUUGAACCCCUGCUCUACUACUGAUGAUCCAUGUGACUUUGGAAAACCCUUGCCAGAUGCAGCCUCCUCGACCUUGGACUUUCCAGCCUCCAGAACGACGAGGGAACCAAAAUUCAGAGAGGUUCAAGGUCGUACAGCACCUGCUCUUCCCACUGCCCAGUGAAGCACUACUCAGUCAUACUAGACACAAAGGGGUUGGUCUAUGGGAGGGAGUACCAGGAAGCACGAGGAGCCUACACUUCUAUGGAGAGUUGAGAUGCCUUCACAAAAAUGCCUAAUGGUGCAAGGUCAUGAAUGCCAAGUGCUCUAGUGUUUUGGAGGUGGAUGAGAUCCCUACAGAUGAGGCACCAGGAACAUCUUCAAGGUGGAGGUGGUUUGUGAGGCUGGAAGAGGAGUUGAAACUUGUGUGUAAUUAUUGUGUGGUGUAUUUGCAUUCCUAAUUGCGGUGGGGGACACCUAGGGCCAAGCUGUCAGUCUCUGGGCUGUCUUUCACCUGCGCCGCGGUGCUGAGCUGUUGGCGGCGGCGGCAGCGUCUUUUCUCCAAGCAGCACCUGUGAGAGCGGCGGCUCCAGCUGGAGCCCCAAGACUUCCAAUCAACACAGAGAGCCACAGGGCCUGUGCUGCGCGAGUUUGCUAUGAGGAGCCUGCAACGCAUCGAGGAGCCCGGCGCCCGACCCACACCUGGCAUUGGCUGGGUGCUCAAUAAAUGCUGGCUGACCACGGCUGAAUGAAUCCUCACCUCGCUUAUCUGACCCAAGCACCGGGCAGGCGCACUGUGGGCUGGCAGCACGGGUUCCUGAUGGAAGGACUCUUGGAUUUGCUCCACAGGUGACUGUGCAUCCAUCUGGAAACGGAGCGUCUGUGCACGGAAUCCAUUUCCUCUUCUAACUUCUGAAUUGCUUUAGAUGCUUCUGACUUCUGAACCCCUUUAGAUGC